ACAACGAUAUCACGUGAUUCAUGCAUAAAGUAUGAUUUGGAAGAUACGCGGGCUUUACUUUUCUCGUUAUGUCAAAGUAACUUUUUUUUUUUCAUUUUAAUUCGGAUCGAUUUGAGUUAUGAUAAAAUUCAGGUUCUCUUGUCAGAUGCCUGCAUUAUUUAUUUUUCCAUUAGAAUUAUUUUUUCCAUACAGAUAAGACUUAUAUGUUGGAAUACCGCGCGUAAAAACAUUGUUCGUUUAAUGAAAAAUUUAACGAAAAA